rnacentral:rRNA from 1 species
ACAGGGAUUGCCCUAGUAACGGCGAGUGAAGCGGCAACAGCUCAAAUUUGAAAUCUGGCUCUCGGGCCCGAGUUGUAAUUUGUAGAGGAUGCUUUUGAUGCGGUGCCUUCCGAGUUCCCUGGAACGGGACGCCAUAGAGGGUGAGAGCCCCGUCUGGUUGGAUGCCAAAUCUCUGUAAAGCUCCUUCAACGAGUCGAGUAGUUUGGGAAUGCUGCUCUAAAUGGGAGGUAUAUGUCUUCUAAAGCUAAAUACCGGCCAGAGACCGAUAGCGCACAAGUAGAGUGAUCGAAAGAUGAAAAGCACUUUGAAAAGAGAGUUAAAAAGUACGUGAAAUUGUUGAAAGGGAAGCGUUUAUGACCAGACUUGGACUUGGUUAAUCAUCUGGGGUUCUCCCCAGUGCACUUUUCCAGUUCAGGCCAGCAUCAGUUUUCCCCGGGGGAUAAAGGCGGCGGGAAUGUGGCUCUCUUCGGGGAGUGUUAUAGCCCGCCGUGUAAUACCCUGGGGGGGACUGAGGUUCGCGCAUCUGCAAGGAUGCUGGCGUAAUGGUCAUCAACGACCCGUCUUGAAACACGGACCAAGGAGUCGUCUUCGUAUGCGAGUGUUCGGGUGUCAAACCCCUACGCGUAAUGAAAGUGAACGCAGGUGAGAGCUUCGGCGCAUCAUCGACCGAUCCUGAUGUUCUCGGAUGGAUUUGAGUAAGAGCAUACGGGGCCGGACCCGAAAGAAGGUGAACUAUGCCUGUAUAGGGUGAAGCCAGAGGAAACUCUGGUGGAGGCUCGCAGCGGUUCUGACGUGCAAAUCGAUCGUCAAAUAUGGGCAUGGGG